CAAGUUAGUGGCAGACGGGUGAGUAACGCGUGGGAAUGUACCUUUUGGUUCGGAAUAACUUCGGGAAACUGAAGCUAAUACCGGAUGAGCCCGUGAGGGGAAAGAUUUAUCGCCAAAAGAGCAGCCCGCGUUAGAUUAGGUAGUUGGUGGGGUAAAGGCCUACCAAGCCUACGAUCUAUAGCUGGUCUGAGAGGAUGAUCAGCCACACUGGGACUGAGACACGGCCCAGACUCCUACGGGAGGCAGCAGUGGGGAAUAUUGGACAAUGGGGGAAACCCUGAUCCAGCAAUGCCGCGUGAGUGAUGAAGGCCUUCGGGUUGUAAAGCUCUUUUGUCAGGGACGAUGAUGACGGUACCUGACGAAUAAGCUCCGGCUAACUUCGUGCCAGCAGCCGCGGUAAUACGAGGGGAGCUAGCGUUGUUCGGAAUUACUGGGCGUAAAGGGCGUGUAGGCGGUACCAUAAGUCAGAUGUGAAAGCCCCUAGGCUUAACCUAGGAGGUGCAUUUGAUACUGUGGAACUAGAGAUCGAGAGAGGAAAGUGGAAUUACGAGUGUAGAGGUGAAAUUCGUAGAUAUUCGUAAGAACACCAGUGGCGAAGGC
rnacentral:rRNA from 1 species